rnacentral:rRNA from 1 species
UACGUAGGGUCCGAGCGUUGUCCGGAAUUAUUGGGCGUAAAGGGCUCGUAGGCGGUCUGUCACGUCGGGAGUGAAAACUCGGGGCUCAACCCCGAGCCUGCUUCCGAUACGGGCAGACUAGAGGUAUGCAGGGGAGAAUGGAAUUCCUGGUGUAGCGGUGAAAUGCGCAGAUAUCAGGAGGAACACCGGUGGCGAAGUCGGUUCUCUGGGCAUUACCUGACGCUGAGGAGCGAAAGUGUGGGGAGCGAACAGG